rnacentral:rRNA from 1 species
CCUACGGGUGGCAGCAGUGAGGAAUAUUGGUCAAUGGUCGGAAGGCUGAACCAGCCAAGCCGCGUGAAGGAUGAAGGUGCCAAGCAUUGUAAACUUCUUUUGUCAGGGGACAAAAUCAGGCUCGAGAGCCUGUAUGAGGGUACCUGAAGAAAAAGCAUCGGCUAACUCCGUGCCAGCAGCCGCGGUAAUACGGAGGAUGCGAGCGUUAUCCGGAUUUAUUGGGUUUAAAGGGUGCGUAGGCGGAAUGUUAAGUCAGCGGUAAAAGUCCGGGGCUCAACCCCGGCGCGCCGUGGAAACUGGUGUUCUUGAGUGGGAGAGAAGUAUGCGGAAUGCGUGGUGUAGCGGUGAAAUGCAUAGAUAUCGCGCAGAACUCCGAUUGCGAAGGCAGCAUACCGGCGCCAUACUGACGCUGAGGCACGAAAGUGCGGGUAUCGAACAGGAUUAGAUACCCUUGUAGUC